AACGAACGCUGGCGGCAUGCCUAACACAUGCAAGUCGAACGAAACCUUCGGGUCUAGUGGCGCACGGGUGCGUAACGCGUGGGAACCUGCCCUUAGGUUCGGAAUAACUCCCCGAAAGGGGUGCUAAUACCGGAUAAUGUCUUCGGACCAAAGAUUUAUCGCCUUUGGAUGGGCCCGCGUUGGAUUAGCUAGUUGGUAGGGUAAAAGCCUACCACGGCGAGGAUCCAUAGCUGGUCGGAGAGGAUGGUCAGCCACACUGGGACUGAGACACGGCCCAGACUCCUACGGGAGGCAGCAGUGGGUAAUAUUGCACAAUGGGCGAAAGCCUGAUCCAGCAAUGCCGCGUGAGUGAUGAAGGCCUUAGGGUUGUAAAGCUCUUUUACCCGGGAUGAUAAUGACAGUACCGGGAGAAUAAGCUCCGGCUAACUCCGUG
rnacentral:rRNA from 1 species